rnacentral:rRNA from 1 species
AUCUAGCCAUGGGCAGGUUGAAGGUUGGGUAACACUAACUGGAGGACCGAACCGACUAAUGUUGAAAAAUUAGCGGAUGACUUGUGGCUGGGGGUGAAAGGCCAAUCAAACCGGGAGAUAGCUGGUUCUCCCCGAAAGCUAUUUAGGUAGCGCCUCGUGAAUUCAUCUCCGGGGGUAGAGCACUGUUUCGGCAAGGGGGUCAUCCCGACUUACCAACCCGAUGCAAACUGCGAAUACCGGAGAAUGUUAUCACGGGAGACACACGGCGGGUGCUAACGUCCGUCGUGAAGAGGGAAACAACCCAGACCGCCAGCUAAGGUCCCAAAGUCAUGGUUAAGUGGGAAACGAUGUGGGAAGGCCCAGACAGCCAGGAUGUUGGCUUAGAAGCAGCCAUCAUUUAAAGAAAGCGUAAUAGCUCACUGGUCGAGUCGGCCUGCGCGGAAGAUGUAACGGGGCUAAACCAUGCACCGAAGCUGCGGCAGCGACGCUUAUGCGUUGUUGGGUAGGGGAGCGUUCUGUAAGCCUGCGAAGGUGUGCUGUGAGGCAUGCUGGAGGUAUCAGAAGUGCGAAUGCUGACAUAAGUAACGAUAAAGCGGGUGAAAAGCCCGCUCGCCGGAAGACCAAGGGUUCCUGUCCAACGUUAAUCGGGGCAGGGUGAGUCGACCCCUAAGGCGAGGCCGAAAGGCGUAGUCGAUGGGAAACAGGUUAAUAUUCCUGUACUUGGUGUUACUGCGAAGGGGGGACGGAGAAGGCUAUGUUGGCCGGGCGACGGUUGUCCCGGUUUAAGCGUGUAGGCUGGUUUUCCAGGCAAAUCCGGAAAAUCAAGGCUGAGGCGUGAUGACGAGGCACUACGGUGCUGAAGCAACAAAUGCCCUGCUUCCAGGAAAAGCCUCUAAGCAUCAGGUAACAUCAAAUCGUACCCCAAACCGACACAGGUGGUCAGGUAGAGAAUACCAAGGCGCUUGAGAGAACUCGGGUGAAGGAACUAGGCAAAAUGGUGCCGUAACUUCGGGAGAAGGCACGCUGAUAUGUAGGUGAAGUCCCUCGCGGAUGGAGCUGAAAUCAGUCGAAGAUACCAGCUGGCUGCAACUGUUUAUUAAAAACACAGCACUGUGCAAACACGAAAGUGGACGUAUACGGUGUGACGCCUGCCCGGUGC